AGUAAUGUAUGGGGAUCUGCCUGAUGGCGGGGGGAUAACUACUGGAAACGGUAGCUAAUACCGCAUAAUGUCUGCGGACCAAAGCGGGGGACCUCCGGGCCUCGCGCCAUCAGAUGAACCCAUAUGGGAUUAGCUUGUAGGUAAGGUAACGGCUUACCUAGGCGACGAUCCCUAGCUGGUCUGAGAGGAUGAUCAGCCACACUGGGACUGAGACACGGCCCAG
rnacentral:rRNA from 1 species